rnacentral:lncRNA from 10 species
UCUAGCCUCAUUUUCAUGUUCUGAAGGCACCCUUAAUAGAAACUCUGAUUUUGUUUGUAUCUGGGGAGAAAUCCAGGGGAAAGAAGAGAAAUUCCAUGAAUCCUCCUACAGGCAACUUUUAUCAGAGGCGUGUAACAUACAGUGAAUGCAGUUAAUUUGGGCAACUGGUGCAUGAUUUAUAGCUUUGAGGAUCUAAUCUAAUCUGGGUCAUUCCUCUUAUUAGAGGUGUGACCCUGGGCAAACCACACGCAUAGCCUUAGCUUCCAUUUUCCUCCAUCUGUACAAGGGGGAUACUAACACCUCCUUGGCAGAGCUGUGGGAAUUUCACAAGAUGCACGUGCCAACAUCUGUGCGCGUGGAAUGCACUAAAUAUCAGUAAAUGACCAGUGAUGAUGACAACGAAGAAUGAUGAUAUUUAUCAAUAACAAUCACUUUCAAGGAAAAUAUUUUCAUUGUGUUUUGAAUUAUUUAGACUCUCCAUACCAAAAAAGGCCACAAGAAAUUGCUUAUCUUUUAUCUAAGUUUUUCUAAGCCACCAGAGCCUAAAAUCAAAAUGAUUUAUAGAUUAAUUUCAGGAAGAGAAAAAGAGAAAUGUGGUUGGGGAGAGGGAGAAAGAGGGAGGGAGGAUCUUUUCUUCCUUUCUCCUGAGCUUCCAUCUUGUCCCACAGAGGUGGGUACCUCAGGCCUUUCUCCCAUGCAAUGCUGGGAAGGGAGGAACCCUCUACACCUCCCAUUAUUUUCAGGAGGACAGCGGCUGCUGUGACUGAUCUCACCUUCACAUUCAUUGGUGACCACUAGAGGUGGGAGUCGCUGGGAUAUUUUUAGCAUAGGCUGGAUGACACCUCCAUGGCAGGUACGUCAGCCACCUCUGCUUUAGUCACCAGCAUAGGGCUGUGCUUAGCAGAGAGCCUAGCAUAGAGAGGAUGCUUAUUAAAUAUUGGGUAAAAGAAUAAAAUGAUAAAUAAGGGCCACUAUAAAAUGAAUGUUACACAAAAACGUGUUUUCCCCAACAACUCACCCAGAUGAAGACUUACAGAGCAGCCCAGCUACUCCUCCCCAUAUAGAAUUCCUCAUCUGGCAUGCAUAACUCGAGGAGAAAAGAUCAAAAAAGAUAUAACCCAAUGGUUUUAUGAAGGCGGUGAAAUUACAGAGAAUCUGUUCAUUGGAAUGCAAGCUUUCUGAGGUUUCAGGCAACGCAGAUGUGAAGAGAAUAAAUAUGAAAGUCUCCCUCCUGGCCCUGGCUUGCAGCCCUCUGCUCCCUUUAGAGGUGAAACACCCUCAUGCACACUGGAGCAUCAGCACGGUGAGGGCAGGGCGUCCACGUGUCUUUGUGCCCUGCUUGACCCCGUGCUGGGACCUUCUACGAGAGCCACGGUGACACGUACAGCAGAUUUCCGGGACACGGCAGUUGUGAAAAUAAAAGAACGAAAGAAUGAACAAAAGGAAAGUGAACACUUCCCCAUUUUAUAGAUUGGAGAGUUGAGGUUUGGCGAGUGAUGUGAAUUAUCCAUGAUUACGUAGCUGAGGUUUGGCCAAGUGCAGACUCCAGAUGGUUCUGUCUAGUUCUGCCUCCCAGGGCUUUCCCCUGUGCAGGCUGCCUCGACCCUGCCUGACUGCCGCCUGUGUCUGAAUCUCUCAGAGCCGUCUGUCUUAAACAGGAAGAGACGGCCUUUAUAUACUGUUUUCAAGGCAACCCACUCCCAUUUAAUGUUAGUCUAGAUGGUUGCAGGUGUAUUUUGUUAUGCUGGCUUCUGGUUUACUCUGCAUAGUCGGGGAGCAUGAGAGGGGUGAUAUGGUUAGCAAAUGCCUUUGAAUUGUUACAUAACUACAUUGAUUCCUUGAAAAAAGCCAUCUUAUUAAAACAAAACAAGGAAUAUUAUGCCUUGUUGAAGCUGACCUAUCAAAAUGUAAAAGAAAUAAAGUAAUGAAUGGUGUCUUGGAAAAAA